GUGAUGCAGCCGCCAGCCCAGGAAUGCCAGGAGCCACCAGAAGCUGGAAGAAGCAAGGAAUGGAUUCUCCCCUGGAACCUUUGGAGGAAGCAUGGCUCUGCCAACACCUUGAUUUUUGAUUCUGGCCUCUAGAACUGUGAAAAAUUAGAUUUCUGUUGUUUUGAGCCACACAGCUGUGGUAAUUUAUUACAGGAGCCCUAGGAAACUAGUACACACAGGUAACCUCCAUAAAGGUGAUAACUAAGAAUCUCUGAUAUCAGUGGGGUCAGUGGUCUCCUAAUACUUAUUUGUAAUAGGGUCUCUUUUUCAAGUCCCACUUCUUCCUUUCUAAUGGAAACCUGUUUUUUUUCUGAGCAGCCAUCCUGCAAGCAACAGUGUACCUCAGAGAAAGCUGAUCCCACUCCAGCUUCAGAGCACGUGUUCCUUUCUUGCAAAGGAACAUAUGGCCUCGCUCUGGCUGAUGAGUUGUCAGGCUGCCAGAAUCUUCUGGACUGGUUGAAGCCUCCUCAGUGGUCUCUUGUCUCCAGUUCUGCUGCAGCUGCUCUUCAUGUCAGCCCCUGAAGUGACUUCAAGGAUCAUUAAGUCUCCAAAUAAUAUAGCUUUAAACCAAGGAUUGAGUACAACUCUUCUUUUAGAGAUGUAGCAAGAUGGAAAAGAACUUAUUCUCUGGGUCCAGAGAACUGUGCAAAUUAUCCAACUGUAUUUUGUAGGAAUUUUAAAGACAAUAUGUUUUGUUUUACUCUGAGGAUAGGACCAAUCUCUGUAUUCUAUGACACACAAUUUUUAUUCAAGACAGACUAUGUGCCAGGAAUUGUGCAGAAACCAUUUAAUCUUCAUAACAGCCCAAUGAUGCAUUAGCCACUUUACAUAUGAGAAGAUUUAGAUUCAGAACUCAAGUGUCGUGUGCAAAUUCACAUGGCUGAUAACUUGUGGGGAUCAGAUUGAGGUCCACAUCUUUUAGAUUCCUAAGGCUCCCUGGUUAUUAAUUGAAUUAAACAAGGUCUGUCUUCUUCACUUUCACACCAAACUGAUGCGAUUUAUCAAAUGUUUGUCUUUUUUUGUGUAUUACUUUAAUGGAAAAUAUUUGAAAUGAAUUAAAAAGUUUUGAUCAAGUUCAGUAUUCUGCUGAAAUAAAUCAAUGAAGACUAAUUCA
rnacentral:lncRNA from 1 species